UACGUAGGGUCCGAGCGUUAAUCGGAAUUACUGGGCGUAAAGCGUGCGCAGGCGGUUCGCAAAGACAGGUGUGAAAUCCCCGGGCUUAACCUGGGAACUGCGCUUGUAACUAGCGGGCUAGAGUGCGGCAGAGGGGGGUGGAAUUCCACGUGUAGCAGUGAAAUGCGCAGAUAUCAGGAAGAACACCCGUGGCGAAGGCGGCUCUCUGGGACGGUACUGACGCUGAGACGCGAAAGCGUGGGGAGCGAACAGG
rnacentral:rRNA from 1 species